GGAAUCUUCCGCAAUGGACGAAAGUCUGACGGAGCAACGCCGCGUGAACGAAGAAGGCCUUCGGGUCGUAAAGUUCUGUUGUUAGGGAAGAACAAGUACCAGAGUAACUGCUGGUACCUUGACGGUACCUAACCAGAAAGCCACGGCUAACUACGUGCCAGCAGCCGCGGUAAUACGUAGGUGGCAAGCGUUGUCCGGAAUUAUUGGGCGUAAAGCGCGCGCAGGUGGUUCCUUAAGUCUGAUGUGAAAGCCCACGGCUCAACCGUGGAGGGUCAUUGGAAACUGGGGAACUUGAGUGCAGAAGAGGAAAGUGGAAUUCCAAGUGUAGCGGUGAAAUGCGUAGAGAUUUGGAGGAACACCAGUGGCGAAGGCGACUUUCUGGUCUGUAACUGACACUGAGGCGCGAAAGCGUGGGGAGCAAACAGGAUUAGAUACCCCUG
rnacentral:rRNA from 1 species